rnacentral:rRNA from 1 species
UAACAUAUGCUUGUCUCGAAGAUUAAGCCAUGCAAGCCCAGAAUAAGCAAUAUUCACGGCGAAUCUGCGAAUGGCUCAUUAAAUCAGUUAUAGUUUAUUUGAUAGUGUCUACUACAUGGAUAUCCGUAGUAAUUCUAGGGCUAAUACAUGCACGCAAAGCCGACUUUUUGGAAGGCUUGUAUUUAUUAGGUAAAAACCAACGGUGUGUCGCUCGGCAACGGGCGGCUCACGAAUGGUGAUCCAUAAUAACUGCGCGAAUCGUAUGGUCUUGCACCGACGAUGAAUCAUUCAAAUUUCUGCCCUAUCAACUUUGGACGGUAAGAUAGAGGCUUACCGUGGUCGUCACGGGUAGCGGAGGAUUAGGGUCUGACUCCGGAGAGGGAGCUUUAGAAACGRCCGCCACUUCCAAGGAAGGCAGCAGGCGCGCAAAUUACCCAAUUCCGUUUCGGAGAGGUAGUGAAGACAAAUAACAAURUGUGGCUCUACGAGCCGCAUAAUUGGAAUGAGAGAGACGUAAAUACUUUCUCGAAUGCAAUU